rnacentral:sRNA from 1 species
CUACCACAUGGACCGCUUCAAGGAAAGCCUCACUCUCAACGUGCAGUAUGAGCCUGAGGUAACCAUUGAGGGGUUUGAUGGCAACUGGUACCUGCAGCGGAUGGAUGUGAAGCUCACCUGCAAAGCUGAUGCUAACCCCCCAGCCACUGAGUACCACUGGACCACGUAAGUGCUGCAGGGCUGACCAGUCACCUUGGAAGAUGGCUGGCUGGACCACAGGUGAUGAGGGGCAACCACCCUACCUCCAGGAGCCUUUAGGCAGGGAAGAAAUUAGGGUCUGGGCUCAGUGAGAAGCGGGGCCAUGAGAGAAUAACCCCCCCAAAAAAACACACAUAUACAUUACAUCCAUGCGUGACAGUGUCAGGGUCAGUGGAACAAGCCAUUCUGCCAGAGGGGUUUCCCUUGUGAUCUGCUUCCCUCGCUCUUCCUAAUAAAGAGUUUUGUCAUUUUC